UACGUAGGCAGCGAGCGUUGUUCGGAGUUACUGGGCGUAAAGAGUGCGUAGGCGGUUUUCUAAGUUUGGUGUGAAAUCUCCCGGCUUAACUGGGAGGGUGCGCCGAAGACUGGAAGGCUUGAGUAUGGGAGAGGUAAGCGGAAUUCCUGGUGUAGCGGUGAAAUGCGUAGAUAUCAGGAGGAACACCUGCGGUGUAGACGGCUUACUGGACCAUCACUGACGCUGAGGCACGAAAGCCAGGGGAGCAAACGGG
rnacentral:rRNA from 1 species